GUAGGGUGCGAGCGUUAAUCGGAAUUACUGGGCGUAAAGUGUGCGCAGGUGGCUGAGCAAGUCGAGUGUGAAAUCCCCGGGCUUAACUUGGGAAUUGCGCUCGAAACUACUUGGCUCGAGUGUGGCAGAGGAAGGUGGAAUUCCACGUGUAGCGGUGAAAUGCGUAGAGAUGUGGAGGAACACCGAUGGCGAAGGCAGCCUUCUGGGCCAACACUGACGCUCAUGCACGAAAGCGUGGGGAGCAAACAGGAUUAGAUACCCUGGUAGUCCACGCCCUAAACGAUGAUGACUAGUUGUUGGGGGAGUUAAAUCCCUUAGUAACGCAGCUAACGCGUGAAGUCAUCCGCCUGGGGAGUACGGUCGCAAGAUUAAA
rnacentral:rRNA from 1 species